rnacentral:rRNA from 1 species
UACAGAGGUGGCAAGCGUUGUUCGGAAUUACUGGGCGUAAAGGGCGCGUAGGCGGUUCGUUAAGUCCUGUGUGAAAUCCUGGAGCUCAACUCCAGAACUGCCUUCGAUACUGGCGACCUUGAGUCCGGGAGAGGUGAGUGGAACUCCGAGUGUAGAGGUGAAAUUCGUAGAUAUUCGGAAGAACACCAGUGGCGAAGGCGGCUCACUGGCCCGGUACUGACGCUGAGGUGCGAAAGCGUGGGGAGCAAACAGG